rnacentral:rRNA from 1 species
GGCAGAGGGUGCAAACGUUGUUCGGAAUUACUGGGCGUAAAGCGAGUGUAGGCGGUUUCCUAAGUCAGGUGUGAAAGCCCCGGGCUCAACCCGGGAAGUGCACUUGAAACUGGGAGGCUAGAGUAUCGGAGAGGUUGGUGGAAUUCUCGGUGUAGAGGUGAAAUUCGUAGAUAUCGAGAGGAACACCGGUGGCGAAGGCGGCCAACUGGACGAAUACUGACGCUGAGACUCGAAAGCGUGGGGAGCAAACAGG